rnacentral:rRNA from 1 species
UACACUCCUACGGGAGGCAGCAGUGGGGAAUAUUGCACAAUGGGCGCAAGCCUGAUGCAGCGACGCCGCGUGGGGGAUGAAGGCCUUCGGGUUGUAAACUCCUUUCGCUAGGGACGAAGCUUUUUUGUGACGGUACCUAGAUAAGAAGCACCGGCUAACUACGUGCCAGCAGCCGCGGUAAUACGUAGGGUGCGAGCGUUGUCCGGAAUUACUGGGCGUAAAGGGCUCGUAGGUGGUUUGUCGCGUCGUCUGUGAAAUUCUGGGGCUUAACUCCGGGCGUGCAGGCGAUACGGGCAUAACUUGAGUGCUGUAGGGGUAACUGGAAUUCCUGGUGUAGCGGUGAAAUGCGCAGAUAUCAGGAGGAACACCGAUGGCGAAGGCAGGUUACUGGGCAGUUACUGACGCUGAGGAGCGAAAGCAUGGGUAGCGAACAGGAUUAGGAACCCCAGUAGUCCCAUGA